GAGUCUAGUUACUAGGCAGUGUAGUUAGCUGAUUGCUAAUAGUACCAAUCACUAACCACACGGCCAGGUAAAAAGAUUGG
rnacentral:pre_miRNA from 2 species